AAGUACCCCGAGGAAAAGAAAUCAACCGAGAUUCCCCCAGUAGCGGCGAGCGAACGGGGAGGAGCCCAGAGCCUGAAUCAGUGUGUGUGUUAGUGGAAGCGUCUGGAAAGGCGCGCGAUACAGGGUGACAGCCCCGUACACAAAAAUGCACAUACUGUGAGCUCGAUGAGUAGGGCGGGACACGUGGUAUCCUGUCUGAAUAUGGGGGGACCAUCCUCCAAGGCUAAAUACUCCUGACUGACCGAUAGUGAACCAGUACCGUGAGGGAAAGGCGAAAAGAACCCCGGCGAGGGGAGUGAAAAAGAACCUGAAACCGUGUACGUACAAGCAGUGGGAGCCUCUUAAUGGGGUGACUGCGUACCUUUUGUAUAAUGGGUCAGCGACUUAUAUUCUGUAGCAAGGUUAACCGAAUAGGGGAGCCGAAGGGAAACCGAGUCUUAACUGGGCGUUAAGUUGCAGGGUAUAGACCCGAAACCCGGUGAUCUAGCCAUGGGCAGGUUGAAGGUUGGGUAACACUAACUGGAGGACCGAACCGACUAAUGUUGAAAAAUUAGCGGAUGACUUGUGGCUGGGGGUGAAAGGCCAAUCAAACCGGGAGAUAGCUGGUUCUCCCCGAAAGCUAUUUAGGUAGCGCCUCGUGAAUUCAUCUCCGGGGGUAGAGCACUGUUUCGGCAAGGGGGUCAUCCCGACUUACCAACCCGAUGCAAACUGCGAAUACCGGAGAAUGUUAUCACGGGAGACACACGGCGGGUGCUAACGUCCGUCGUGAAGAGGGAAACAACCCAGACCGCCAGCUAAGGUCCCAAAGUCAUGGUUAAGUGGGAAACGAUGUGGGAAGGCCCAGACAGCCAGGAUGUUGGCUUAGAAGCAGCCAUCAUUUAAAGAAAGCGUAAUAGCUCACUGGUCGAGUCGGCCUGCGCGGAAGAUGUAACGGGGCUAAACCAUGCACCGAAGCUGCGGCAGCGACACUAUGUGUUGUUGGGUAGGGGAGCG
rnacentral:rRNA from 1 species